GAAAGUAACAAUUAUUUCUGGCCCUAAUACAAAAACCCAGUAGGAAAUUUGCAAACUGCCAUUAAAUAAACUAGAAUGAAUGUUCUUACAUAUUUGCAAUCCAUUAUGAAAACAAACUAGACCAAUGAUAGCAUCGUCUAUGGACGCUAGCACAUUCAAGUUCAAUAAGAACUCUCUAGUAGGGCUGGGUGGCCUUGGGUUGGAACAGGCUAUUUUUGUUCAAGGUUCAGGGUAUAGAAACUGAAACAAAAGGUCCCCUCCGGUUAUGGUUCCUGUUCCUGUUCAGUUAAAAUUUUUCAAAUAUUUUAUUUUUUAAAAAAUGCAGUUUUUAAUCAAACUGGUUCUGAUCCAGUUCAAGA
rnacentral:misc_RNA from 1 species